AUGCUGAUAACAUUCAGCUGUAUUGUUCUUUUAAGGUUUCUGAGUUUCAUAAAUUGUCUAGUUUAACUGAUUGCCAGACUGAAAUCAAGCAAUGGUUAAAUGAUAACACCCUCCAGAGAAACA